CCUACGGGUGGCAGCAGUGAGGAAUAUUGGUCAAUGGACGCAAGUCUGAACCAGCCAUGCCGCGUGCAGGAAGACGGCUCUAUGAGUUGUAAACUGCUUUUAUACGAGGGUAAAAGCAGACACGUGUACCUUUCUGCAUGUAUCUUACGAAUAAGGAUCGGCUAACUCCGUGCCAGCAGCCGCGGUAAUACGGAGGAUUCAAGCGUUAUCCGGAUUUAUUGGGUUUAAAGGGUGCGUAGGCGGUCGGUUAAGUUAGAGGUGAAAGUCUGAGGCUCAACCUUGAAAUUGCCAUUGAUACUGGUAGGCUUGAGAGUAGUUGCGGUAGGCGGAAUGUAUGGUGUAGCGGUGAAAUGCUUAGAGAUCACGCAGAACACCGAUUGCGAAGGCAGCUUACUAAGCUGUGACUGACGUUGAGGCACGAAAGUGUGGGGAGCAAACAGGAUUAGAUACCACGGUAGUC
rnacentral:rRNA from 1 species